UGGGGAAUUUUGGACAAUGGGCGCAAGCCUGAUCCAGCAAUGCCGCGUGCAGGAUGAAGGCCUUCGGGUUGUAAACUGCUUUUGUACGGAACGAAAAGCCUCUCUCUAAUACAGGGGGUGAUGACGGUACCGUAAGAAUAAGCACCGGCUAACUACGUGCCAGCAGCCGCGGUAAUACGUAGGGUGCAAGCGUUAAUCGGAAUUACUGGGCGUAAAGCGUGCGCAGGCGGUUUUGUAAGACAGUGGUGAAAUCCCGGGCUCAACCUGGGAACUGCCAUUGUGACUGCAAGGCUGGAGUGCGGCAGAGGGGGAUGGAAUUCCGCGUGUAGCAGUGAAAUGCGUAGAUAUGCGGAGGAACACCGAUGGCGAAGGCAAUCCCCUGAGCCUGCACUGACGCUCAUGCACGAAAGCGUGGGGAGCAAACAGAUUAGAUACCCUGGUAGUCCACGCCCUAAACGAUGUCAACUGGUUGUUGGGGAUUUAUUUCUUCAGUAACGAAGCUAACGCGUGAAGUUGACCGCCUGGGGAGUACGGCCGCAAGGUU
rnacentral:rRNA from 1 species